GACUGCCGGUGACAAACCGGAGGAAGGCGGGGAKGACGUCAAAUCAUCAUGCCCCAWAUGGCCUGGGCUACACACGUACUACAAUGGCUGGUACAACGGGAAGCGAAGCUGCGAAGCGGAGCGAAUCUUAAGAAUCCAGUCUCAGUUCGGAUUGCAGGCUGCAACUCGCCUGCAUGAGGUCGGAAUUGCUAGUAAUCGCGGAUCAGCAUGCCGCGGUGAAUACGUUCCCGGGUCUUGUACACACCGCCCGUCACACCACGAGAGUUUACAACACCCGAAGUCGGUGAGGUAACCGCAAGGAGCCAGCCGCCGAAGGUGGGGUAGU
rnacentral:rRNA from 1 species